rnacentral:sRNA from 1 species
GCAAUCCUCGAAGGGGAGUCUCAGCGACCAUGGGGGGCACCAUCCACUAGAUGUCAGGCUGAAGGAGAUGAUGAAACUCUGCAAGCCCAAGAACAUGGGGAAAGAGGAGACACAGGAAGCAUUGUCAGUCUCUUACCCGGGUUUGGAGGGCACUGCCCUGCUCAGUCUGGGGGGAUGUGGUGACCCUCAGGAGGACAGCCUCCCCAGCGCCCAGGCCCUGUCCAGGCCCAGGAUGAAGGCUGCCUCAUCCUCAGGCCAGGGACCCCUGCCAGCCAGGCCACCCGCAACGGUGUGGGACGUGAGUGCCGUUGCCCCCGGCGGUCCAGCAGCAGGACAGCCCCCAGCAGCCUGGCCUAGGAGGCUCACCGCAGCCGUCAAGGGAUUCUGGGCCACCCGCCCUUCCUUCUCCACCUUCUACUUCAUCUUUGCCAUUUUUGUGGUGUCCACCAUCUUUCACUGCCACCAGCGCCUGGCUCUGGUGCCUGCGCCCUGGGCAUACUCAGCCCGUGUGGUCCUGGCCCCCAGACACCUCCCCCAGGAGGGCCUGUUCACUAUCAACUCCAAGGGCCGCCUGGGGAACCAGAUGGGUGGGUACGCCACGCUGUACGCCCUGGCCAAGAUGAACGGGCGGCCCGCCUUCAUCCCGGCCCAGAUGCACAGCACCCUGGCCCCCAUCUUCAGAAUCACCCUGCCGGUGCUGCACAGUGCCACGGCCAGCAGGAUCCCCUGGCAGAACUACCACCUGAACGACUGGAUGGAGGAGGAGUACCGCCACAUCCCGGGGCGCUAUGUCCGCCUCACGGGCUACCCCUGCUCCUGGACCUUCUACCACCACCUCCGCCACAAGAUCCUCCAGGAGUUCACCCUGCACGACCACGUGCGGGAGGAGGCCCAGAAGUUCCUGCGGGGCCUGCAGGCCAAGUGGGCAGGGCAGGCGACCUUCGUGGGGGUCCAUGUGCGUCGGGGGGACUAUGUCCGUGUCAUGCCGCGCGUAUGGAAGGGGGUGCUGGCCGACCGGGGCUACCUGCAGCGGGCCCUGGACUGGUUCCGGGCCCGCUGCCGCCUCCCGGUCUUUGUGGUCACCAGCGAUGAUAUGGCCUGGUGCCGGCAGAGCAUCAACAGCUCUCUUGGGGACGUGGUGUUCGCUGGCAAUGGCCUCCAGGGCUCACCUGCCAAAGACUUUGCGCUGCUCACACAGUGCAACCACACCAUCAUCACCGUGGGCACCUUCGGGGUCUGGGCCGCGUACCUCGCGGGCGGGGACACCGUCUACCUGGCCAACUUCACCCUGCCCAACUCCCCUUUCGACGUGGUCUUUAGGCCGCAAGCGGCCUUCCUGCCAGAGUGGGUGGGCCUUGCAGCUGACCUUGGACAGGCUGGACAGAACGGCCUCUAGCCAGCCCUCCCUGUGCCUGGCCCUCAUCCUCUGACCCGAGGGGCAGUGAGUGGGGUGUGCGGGGCAUGGACUCAAGGUCCCUCACGCAGUUUGGAUCCAGGCUUAUCUACUUCAUAGCUGAGUGAGUUUGGACAACUGACUCAACCUCUGUGCCUUAGUAUGUUAACCACAAAAUGCACAAACCACAGAAAUAAACACCAGUAGCAGCUGGUGGGAGCUGAGCAAAUUCGCUUAGAGCCAGUGCCUUAUGACCGUGUGGGAGGCGUCGGCUGCUCACAUGUAUGCAGCACGCCAGGAACAUUGGCAUUGCUUUACGAUGGAAAUGCAGUUUUGCCCUCUCCUUCCUAGCAGCACUGGUAGCACAGGGCCCAGAUAUUUUGCACUCAUGUCCUGGAGAGAAGCCAUCCCUGCCCUGAAGGAUAGGGGAACUCGAUUUUCUAGGCAACUAGGAAUUUUGGCUUCGGAGUUAGUGGGCCUUAUCACGAAAGAAUGUGAGGGAAGGGCC